CUGACAGCUUUUGUUUUUACUGCAAGGUCUUGUUCCACCUUCUUCCCACGGGUCCAGGCAGUUGUUCUUCUAGUCUACACUGUCUCUUGUAGCUUGUUUGUCAUCUGGAGGGAAUAGGUUGGAAAUCUUGUAUUUGGGUAUCUAUUCUCAUACAGGGAGGAAAUACAGGCAAUUAGGUUAAAGUCAUAGGCACCAUGUAGAGGGCUGGGCUGGAAGGAAGUCAAGCUCUAAGUGUUGACUGUGUGGGAGGAGCUGUGAACAUGAGGAUGUGAACCUGAGUAAGACGGAUCUCUACCCAAAGGAGCAUGGUCUAAUAAACAGAGAAGGCUCAGGAGGGUCAGAAACACGGUGCCUCAUUUCUCAGCCUACUUGCCAAGAAUUCCCAAAAAGGAAGCACUGGAGGAUCAUUCCAAGGCUUGAGGUCCAGGACUACCCACUUCCCUUGGAAUGGUGUUGCCAUCACUGUUCUGGCACCGGAGAAAGGAUUCUACAUCGUUAGGAGAAAAGAAAAAGGAGAAUUUGGGCUUGCACUGAGAGGAUUACCUUUGGUGGUCUGGAAGUGGUGGGGUUGCAGCAUUGAAGGCACCAUCUUGGAAGCAGAGACUAGACCCUCACCAAGCAAUUAACAUGCUGGUGCAUUGAUCUUGGACUUUCCAGCCUCCAGAACUGUGAGAAAUAAAUUUCUGUUCUUAAUUAAUUACCCAGUCCCAGGUAUUCUGUUAUAGCAGCACAAAGCUUAGACGGGCUCCUUACAUCUUGAGGCUCCAUUAUCUCCUGGGAACUGGGAGUCCUUAGGUUCUAGCCAUGGAAAGAGAAACAAAAGAUGGAGAAGGCACACAUGCUUCUUAAUGGUCGUGGUUCAGAAGUAACAAAUACUAAUUCUAUAUAUUCUACUGGCUCAACACAAAUGCAGGGGUGUGCUGGGAAUGGAGUCUCUGAUUGGGCAGCAGGGAUCAGGGAUCAAAGAUCAGGAAAUAUUCCAGGGUGAAUAUUUUACUAGGUGAGGAGGACCAUGAAUUUUGACAAACAGCCUUUGCUGCUCUACCCACUCCUCAUCAUCACUGUUAGACACAAAGAGAAAUGGCAGCACUUUUUGUCCAUUGAUUGUAACUCUUUCUUUAAAGACUUUUAAGGCAGAAUCUCAAUUCAUCUCUUCUAUGAAACUUUCAUGAUUCAAAGGGAAGUCCCUGCAUGGACACUGCCAGCUUCAUUGCACUUCUGCCUCUAUGCUUUUUCCUGAACCUUCUCCACCUCUGGAACGUACUUCAGGCUGCACAGGGAGCAUGGCUGGGAGGCCUCAGGAAACUGAC
rnacentral:lncRNA from 1 species